GACAUGCAGAGAACUUCCAGAGAUGGAUUGGUGCCUUCGGGAACUCUGACACAGGUGCUGCAUGGCUGUCGUCAGCUCGUGUCGUGAGAUGUUGGGUUAAGUCCGUAACGAGCGCAACCCUUGUCCUUAGUUACCAGCACGUUAUGGUGGGCACUCUAAGGAGACUGCCGGUGACAAACCGGAGGAAGGUGGGGGAUGACGUCAAGUCAUCAUGGCCCUUACGGCCUGGGCUACACACGUGCUACAAUGGUCGGUACAAAGGGUUGCCAAGCCGCGAGGUGGAGCUAAUCCCAUAAAACCGAUCGUAGUCCGGAUCGCAGUCUGCAACUCGACUGCGUGAAGUCGGAAUCGCUAGUAAUCGUGAAUCAGAAUGUCACGGUGAAUACGUUCCCGGGCCUU
rnacentral:rRNA from 1 species